UGGGCGUAAGCGCGCGCAGGCGGUUUCUUAAGUCUGAUGUGAAAGCCCACGGCUCAACCGUGGAGGGUCAUUGGAAACUGGGGAACUUGAGUGCCCAAGAGAAAAGCGGAAUUCCACGUGUAGCGGUGAAAUGCGUAGAGAUGUGGAGGAACACCAGUGGCGAAGGCGGCUUUUUGGUCUGUAUCUGACGCUGAGGCGCGAAUGCGUGGG
rnacentral:rRNA from 1 species